UACGUAGGGGGCAAGCGUUGUCCGGAUUUAUUGGGCGUAAAGAGCGUGUAGGCGGCUUCACAGGUCCGCUGUGAAAACUGGAGGCUUAACCUCCAGACGUCGGUGGAAACCGUAUGACUAGAGUCCGGAAGAGGAGAGUGGAAUUCCGUGGUGUAGCGGUGAAAUGCGCAGAUAUCAGGAAGAACACCCGUGGCUAAGGCGGCUCUCUAGUACGGUACUGACGCUGAGACGCGAAAGCGUGGGGAGCGAACAGG
rnacentral:rRNA from 1 species